rnacentral:rRNA from 1 species
CACGUAGGGGGCAAGCGUUGUCCGGAAUCAUUGGGCGUAAAGAGCGUGUAGGCGGCUCGAUAAGUCUGCUGUGAAAGUCCAGGGCUCAACCCUGGAAGGCCGGUGGAAACUGUCGGGCUAGAGUCCGGAAGAGGCGAGUGGAAUUCCCGGUGUAGCGGUGAAAUGCGCAGAUAUCGGGAGGAACACCAAUGGCGGAGGCAGCUCGCUGGGACGGUACUGACGCUGAGACGCGAAAGCGUGGGGAGCAAACAGG